UUCACAUGCUACUCACGCAGAUAGAAUGGAAGCCCAGCUUGGCCGAAGACCUUUUCCUUAUGAACUUUUCCAUAAGACCCACACUAGGAAAGGCACCUCCGAUAUGGUUGAUUCACGAGCGCAAUCAAUUAAGGAUGCAUUUUUGGCGCUUAAGGAGCAGUCGUCUCAACCACAAGAGGG